rnacentral:rRNA from 1 species
UACGUAGGGUGCGAGCGUUGUCCGGAAUUAUUGGGCGUAAAGAGCUUGUAGGCGGUUUGUCGCGUCUGCUGUGAAAAUCCGGGGCUCAACCCCGGACUUGCAGUGGGUACGGGCAGACUAGAGUGUGGUAGGGGAGACUGGAAUUCCUGGUGUAGCGGUGGAAUGCGCAGAUAUCAGGAGGAACACCGAUGGCGAAGGCAGGUCUCUGGGCCACUACUGACGCUGAGAAGCGAAGGCAUGGGGAGCGAACAGG